CCGACUUUAGCUCAGUUGGUAGAGCCGAGAACUGUAGUUGGAGUAAAAAUUUAAGCUGAAAUCCUUAAGUCGCUGGUUCGAAUCCGGCAGGUCAGA
rfam:Ipomoea nil DNA, scaffold: scaffold3056, cultivar: Tokyo-kokei standard.